ACUAAGCGUACACGGUGGAUGCCCUGGCAGUCAGAGGCGAUGAAGGACGUGCUAAUCUGCGAUAAGCGUCGGUAAGGUGAUAUGAACCGUUAUAACCGGCGAUUUCCGAAUGGGGAAACCCAGUGUGUUUCGACACACUAUCAUUAACUGAAUCCAUAGGUUAAUGAGGCGAACCGGGGGAACUGAAACAUCUAAGUACCCCGAGGAAAAGAAAUCAACCGAGAUUCCCCCAGUAGCGGCGAGCGAACGGGGAGGAGCCCAGAGCCUGAAUCAGUGUGUGUGUUAGUGGAAGCGUCUGGAAAGGCGCGCGAUACAGGGUGACAGCCCCGUACACAAAAAUGCACAUGCUGUGAGCUCGAUGAGUAGGGCGGGACACGUGGUAUCCUGUCUGAAUAUGGGGGGACCAUCCUCCAAGGCUAAAUACUCCUGACUGACCGAUAGUGAACCAGUACCGUGAGGGAAAGGCGAAAAGAACCCCGGCGAGGGGAGUGAAAAAGAACCUGAAACCGUGUACGUACAAGCAGUGGGAGCACGCUUAGGCGUGUGACUGCGUACCUUUUGUAUAAUGGGUCAGCGACUUAUAUUCUGUAGCAAGGUUAACCGAAUAGGGGAGCCGAAGGGAAACCGAGUCUUAACUGGGCGUUAAGUUGCAGGGUAUAGACCCGAAACCCGGUGAUCUAGCCAUGGGCAGGUUGAAGGUUGGGUAACACUAACUGGAGGACCGAACCGACUAAUGUUGAAAAAUUAGCGGAUGACUUGUGGCUGGGGGUGAAAGGCCAAUCAAACCGGGAGAUAGCUGGUUCUCCCCGAAAGCUAUUUAGGUAGCGCCUCGUGAAUUCAUCUCCGGGGGUAGAGCACUGUUUCGGCAAGGGGGUCAUCCCGACUUACCAACCCGAUGCAAACUGCGAAUACCGGAGAAUGUUAUCACGGGAGACACACGGCGGGUGCUAACGUCCGUCGUGAAGAGGGAAACAACCCAGACCGCCAGCUAAGGUCCCAAAGUCAUGGUUAAGUGGGAAACGAUGUGGGAAGGCCCAGACAGCCAGGAUGUUGGCUUAGAAGCAGCCAUCAUUUAAAGAAAGCGUAAUAGCUCACUGGUCGAGUCGGCCUGCGCGGAAGAUGUAACGGGGCUAAACCAUGCACCGAAGCUGCGGCAGCGACGCUGAUGCGUUGUUGGGUAGGGGAGCGUUCUGUAAGCCUGUGAAGGUGUGCUGUGAGGCAUGCUGGAGGUAUCAGAAGUGCGAAUGCUGACAUAAGUAACGAUAAAGCGGGUGAAAAGCCCGCUCGCCGGAAGACCAAGGGUUCCUGUCCAACGUUAAUCGGGGCAGGGUGAGUCGACCCCUAAGGCGAGGCCGAAAGGCGUAGUCGAUGGGAAACAGGUUAAUAUUCCUGUACUUGGUGUUACUGCGAAGGGGGGACGGAGAAGGCUAUGUUGGCCGGGCGACGGUUGUCCCGGUUUAAGCGUGUAGGCUGGUUUUCCAGGCAAAUCCGGAAAACUAAGGCUGAGGCGUGAUGACGAGGCACUACGGUGCUGAAGCAACAAAUGCCCUGCUUCCAGGAAAAGCCUCUAAGCAUCAGGUAACAUCAAAUCGUACCCCAAACCGACACAGGUGGUCAGGUAGAGAAUACCAAGGCGCUUGAGAGAACUCGGGUGAAGGAACUAGGCAAAAUGGUGCCGUAACUUCGGGAGAAGGCACGCUGAUAUGUAGGUGAAGUCCCUCGCGGAUGGAGCUGAAAUCAGUCGAAGAUACCAGCUGGCUGCAACUGUUUAUUAAAAACACAGCACUGUGCAAACACGAAAGUGGACGUAUACGGUGUGACGCCUGCCCGGUGCCGGAAGGUUAAUUGAUGGGGUCAGCGCAAGCGAAGCUCUUGAUCGAAGCCCCGGUAAACGGCGGCCGUAACUAUAACGGUCCUAAGGUAGCGAAAUUCCUUGUCGGGUAAGUUCCGACCUGCACGAAUGGCGUAAUGAUGGCCAGGCUGUCUCCACCCGAGACUCAGUGAAAUUGAACUCGCUGUGAAGAUGCAGUGUACCCGCGGCAAGACGGAAAGACCCCGUGAACCUUUACUAUAGCUUGACACUGAACAUUGAGCCUUGAUGUGUAGGAUAGGUGGGAGGCUUUGAAGUGUGGACGCCAGUCUGCAUGGAGCCGACCUUGAAAUACCACCCUUUAAUGUUUGAUGUUCUAACGUUGACCCGUAAUCCGGGUUGCGGACAGUGUCUGGUGGGUAGUUUGACUGGGGCGGUCUCCUCCUAAAGAGUAACGGAGGAGCACGAAGGUUGGCUAAUCCUGGUCGGACAUCAGGAGGUUAGUGCAAUGGCAUAAGCCAGCUUGACUGCGAGCGUGACGGCGCGAGCAGGUGCGAAAGCAGGUCAUAGUGAUCCGGUGGUUCUGAAUGGAAGGGCCAUCGCUCAACGGAUAAAAGGUACUCCGGGGAUAACAGGCUGAUACCGCCCAAGAGUUCAUAUCGACGGCGGUGUUUGGCACCUCGAUGUCGGCUCAUCACAUCCUGGGGCUGAAGUAGGUCCCAAGGGUAUGGCUGUUCGCCAUUUAAAGUGGUACGCGAGCUGGGUUUAGAACGUCGUGAGACAGUUCGGUCCCUAUCUGCCGUGGGCGCUGGAGAACUGAGGGGGGCUGCUCCUAGUACGAGAGGACCGGAGUGGACGCAUCACUGGUGUUCGGGUUGUCAUGCCAAUGGCACUGCCCGGUAGCUAAAUGCGGAAGAGAUAAGUGCUGAAAGCAUCUAAGCACGAAACUUGCCCCGAGAUGAGUUCUCCCUGACUCCUUGAGAGUCCUGAAGGAACGUUGAAGACGACGACGUUGAUAGGCCGGGUGUGUAAGCGCAGCGAUGCGUUGAGCUAACCGGUACUAAUGAACCGUGAGGCUUAACC
rnacentral:rRNA from 1 species